rnacentral:rRNA from 1 species
UGCGUAGGCGGAAUAUUAAGUCAGUGGUGAAAUCCUGCGGCUCAACCGUAGAACUGCCAUUGAUACUGAUAUUCUUGAAUGUAGUUGAGGUAGGCGGAAUGUGUAAUGUAGCGGUGAAAUGCUUAGAUAUUACACAGAACACCGAUUGCGAAGGCAGCUUACUAAACUAUGAUUGACGCUGAGGCACGAAAGCGUGGGGAGCAAACAGGAUUAGAUACCCUGGUAGUC